rnacentral:lncRNA from 1 species
GUCGUCCCUGGCAACACUGGCUGCUCUAGCGCCUGGCGGGGUCUCACGGGCGGGCCUGGGCGCACGGCCAAAGCGCCAGGUCUCCACCCCCAGCCCCCGGCGUCCUGCAGCCGGAGCCUGCCUCGCCUGGCUCCUGCGCCCGCCGUCCAGGGCCCCUGUCCAAGCUCGCGGACGCCGGCGGCGUUUUCCAGCUCGAGUGCUCAGCCUAGGGCAGGCUCUGCGUGCGCCCCCUCGAGUGCCGGCCUGGGCCCUGCCAGGCAGAGGCGCUCUUGCGUCAGGACGGCGCCGCCGGGGCCCCGCGAUUCCAACUCGGGGGUCCCGGAGCGGCGCGGGGCGGGGACGGCCUGGCAGCUCCCAGCAGCGAGGGGCGAUCCCCGCCCGCGCAGCAGACCCCGAGCUGCCCAGGCCCUUCCUGCGCCACGUGUACCCAGAGCUCCGCCCGGGGGAGACUUCGCUGCUUGUUGGAGAUGCCCAGCGGUAGGGGGCGAGGACUCGGGAGGAAGAUAAACGGGGGAUCCCGUGUCUGGACUUUCUCCUCCACCCUCUUCCCUUCGCAGCUGUGAAUCCUGGGAGGGGAAGGGUGGCCGCCCCGCCAGCAGAGAGCUGAAGGUGUUCCGUGGUCAGUGAGGGCUGGCACUGGCUCUGCACGAAGAUCUCCUCACCUCCCCAGCGGCUCCUGGCCAGCUCCCCACGGAGAGCCCAGGACACUUGUCCCUGGACACAGUGGUGCAGCCAUGCUUGGGCCAAACCAUGAGGCCACCAGAACCGCGAAAGGCUACUGUACUGAGAGGGAUACUGCGAGAGAGGCCCACAGGUUUCCAAGCAUCCCUCUCACUCCGCACACUCAUCUCCACGACCGGCUUUAAGUGCGGCCUUGAGGCCUGGCUCCCUGUUUGGACUUCUCUGCACCUCCAGGAGCUCACUUCCCGUCACAGCUGGAUGCCUCCUCCCGCAGGCACCUCCCGGGCAUCCUCCCGCCCCAGGCUGCACCUUCUGUGGGACUGGCCCCCGCAGGCACCUCCCGGGCACCCUCCCGCCCCAGGCUGCAGCUUCUGUGGGACUGAGCCCCGCAGGCACCUCCCCGGCAUCCUCCCGCCCCAGGCUGCACCUUCUGUGGGACUGAGCCCCGCAGGCACUUCCCCGGCAUCCUCCCGCCCCAGGCUGCAGCUUCUGUGGGACUGACCUUAAGACCCCAUCGGUUCCUCCUGAGAGCAGCAGAUCUCAGCCAGAUGCUGCCGGGAGGGAGGUGCUAGCGUCCACACCCAGACGGGUCCAGUCCAGCCCUGCUCUCCCUGGUCUCCAGGCAGGGCCCUCCCAGGGUGGACAUUGCCCAUCUCUGCCUGGCCAGGGGCUGCUGACCCACUGGUUCCAGAGUCUGAGCCUGUCCUGCACAAGUACCAUGGACAGGGGUCAGCCGGGCACUGAAGAGGCGUGGCAGAAUUGGGCAGGGCAAGGGCCCCAGCUGGCAAGCUGGAGUCAGGGCAAUUCCAACCAAGAAACUGCGGCAGGCCGGGUGCAGUGUCUCAAGCCUAUAAUCCCAGCACUUUGGGAGGCAGUGGGAGAAUCGCUUGAGCCCGGGAGUUUGAGACCAGCAUUGGUAACAUAGAGACCCUAUCGCUACAAGAAAAAAAAAAAAAAAAAGCUGGGCAUGGUGGUGCACACCUGUUGUCCCAGCUAUUCAGGAGGCUGACGUGGGAGGAUUGCUUGUGCCCAGGGGUUGCAGGCUGCAGUGAGCUGUGAUCAUACCACUGCACUCCAGCCUGGGCGACAGAGAACCUCUCUAAAAAAAAAGGAAAAUGAAAAAUAAAUGGGGGCAGAAGCUGAGCCAAGCAGAGGCGGGCAGCUCCUCCUCCAGGGCCCACCUGGCCUGCUGGG